UCAUUGUGGCUGGCAUUCUCCGCACCUGCUCCCGAUCAGCUCUCAUUAAAGAAGUCUGGCAGUCUUUCCAGUCUCCGUCGGAUUGUUAAGUCAUGUUUGGAGCUCUGCUGACCUGUUCUGUCGCCAGAUCUGACUGACUUAAGCAACGCAGAGAAGCAGCCGCUGUUUGCCUGAGACAGCUGUCACUACAGUCUGCCCUCUGCUUUAGCCCAUUCCAGUAAACUGUUCUAAACUGUC